AAGAGAUUAGUUUAAGUUUAAAAUGUUAGACUGUAAAUCUAAAGUUAUUAUCUCUUG
rnacentral:tRNA from 1 species